rnacentral:rRNA from 1 species
GACGAAGGAUCCAAGCGUUAUCCGGAUUUAUUGGGUUUAAAGGGUGCGUAGGCGGAUUGAUAAGUCAGUGGUGAAAGCCUGCAGCUUAACUGCAGAACUGCCAUUGAUACUGUCAAUCUUGAAUGUGGCUGAUGUGGGCGGAAUAUGACAUGUAGCGGUGAAAUGCUUAGAUAUGUCAUAGAACACCGAUUGCGAAGGCAGCUCACAAAGCCAUUAUUGACGCUGAGGCACGAAAGCGUGGGGAUCAAACAGG